rnacentral:tRNA from 1 species
GGAAAUGUGCCCGAAUACAAGGAACACUUUGAUAGAGUGUAAUAUGUGAACUAAAUCUCACCAUUUCCU